GCGAGCGUGUCCGAGUUGGUUUAAGGAGUUCGACUUAAGUUCGAAUGUCGUAAGACGCGUGGGUUCGAAUCCCAUCGCUCGCA